GUGCUCGCUUCGGCAGCACAUAUACUAAAAUUGGAAUGAUCACCACAGAGAUUAGCAUGGCCCCCGUGCAAGGAUGACACGCAAAUUCGAGAAGUGUUCCAUAUUUUU
rnacentral:snRNA from 1 species